AGAACGAACGCUGGCGGCAUGCCUAACACAUGCAAGUCGAACGCGUGUAGCGAUACACGAGUGGCGGACGGGUGAGUAACGCGUGGGAACCUGCCCUGGAGUGUGGGAUAACCGAGGGAAACUUCGGCUAAUACCGCAUACGACCUGAGGGUGAAAGAUUUAGUCGGCUCUAGGAGGGGCCCGCGUCGGAUUAGCUAGUUGGUGGGGUAAAGGCCUACCAAGGCAGUGAUCCGUAGCUGGUCUGAGAGGAUGAUCAGCCACACUGGGACUGAGACACGGCCCAGACUCCUACGGGAGGCAGCAGUGGGGAAUAUUGGACAAUGGGGGGCAACCCUGAUCCAGCAAUGCCGCGUGAGUGAUGAAGGCCUUAGGGUUGUAAAGCUCUUUCGCGCGCGACGAUGAUGACGGUAGCGCGAGAAGAAGCCCCGGCUAACUCGUGCCAGCAGCCGC
rnacentral:rRNA from 1 species